UAUGUCCUUUUUAGUAAUACGAUGAGAUUUGGAACGAUACAGAGAAGAUUAGCAACGCCCCUGCACAAGGAUGACACACAAAUUUGUGAAGUGUUCCAUAUUUUU